UUCGCCGCCUGCGGUCCGGCACGUGCUCUCUUCCUCAGCCAACAAGUAAAUUCGUCAGCAACAGCAACUAAUUGGCCACGAAGGUAACUCACUAAUCAAAAAAAUACAUAUUUAAUUCGUAUACUGUAUACAACAAAGAAAAAGAAGCUUAGAGAGGGAAACAACAA